rnacentral:snRNA from 1 species
AGAUGUGAGGACGAUCUGGCUGCGACACUGUCACCCCAUUGAUCGCCAGGGUUGAUUCGGCUGAUCUGGCUGACUAGGUGGGUUUCCCCCUCCUCCCUCACUGCUCCAUGUGUGUCCCUCCCAAAGAUGUGCACUCAGUCGAAGAGGACGACCACCCCCGAUAGAGGAGGACCAUUUCCUCGGUCAAGGGUAUAUGAGUAGCUGGGCUCCCCUACUAGAACCUCUAAGGGUCUGCCAAAGUAGUAGCAGGCUUCCCCGGCCAUGCCAGAGUUGAGCUACAGCAAAGGAAUACCUACUUGGGCUGUAAGCCUCUAGCU